rnacentral:rRNA from 1 species
AAGGGAGAGGAUAAGGUAGAAAUCUACCCUCGGGACGGGGAUAGCUGCGGGAAACUGCUGGUAAUACCCGAUAAUAUCUUUGGAUCAAAGGUGUGAUUCCGCCUGAGGAUGAGUCUACUUCCUAUUAGCUAGUUGGCAGGGUAAUGGCCUACCAAGGCAACGAUGGGUAGCGGGUGUGAGAGCAUGACCCGCCUCACUGGGACUGAGAACUGCCCAGACACCUACGGGUGGCUGCAGUCGAGAAUCUUCGGCAAUGGGCGCAAGCCUGACCGAGCGACGCCGCGUGCGGGAUGAAGGCCCUCGGGUUGUAAACCGCUGUCGUAGGGGAACAAAUGUAGUGGGGUUCUCCCCAUUACUUGAGUGAUCCUAGGAGGAAGGGGAGGCUAAGCUCGUGCCAGCAGCCGCGGUAAGACGAGCUCCCCGAACGUUAUUCGGUAUUACUGGGCUUAAAGAGUUCGUAGGCGGCCCGACAGGUGAGGUGUGAAAUCCCUCGGCUCAACCGAGGAACUGCGCUUCAAACCGUCAGGCUUGAGGGAGAUAGAGGUGAGCGGAACAGAUGGU